rnacentral:misc_RNA from 1 species
AACGCACAUUGCGCCCCUUAGUAUUCCAAGAGGCAUGCUUAUUCGAGCGUCAUUAUAACUAAUCCAGCCCGGUUAGGUGUUGGGCGUCGCGGCCUAUUGUGCGUGAUGAUCCAUCGCCGCUUGGGAGUCGGGGGAGAGCGCCUGCACGCGUCGACGGAGACGUCGACUUCAAGGUUGACCUCGGAUCAAGUAGGGAUACCCGCUGAACUUAA